rnacentral:rRNA from 1 species
UACGGAGGAUGCAAGCGUUAUCCGGAUUCAUUGGGUUUAAAGGGUGCGUAGGCGGACUAUUAAGUCAGUGGUGAAAGCCUGCAGCUUAACUGCAGAACUGCCAUUGAUACUGAUAGUCUUGAGUUUGGUUAAGGUAGGCGGAAUGUGUAAUGUAGCGGUGAAAUGCUUAGAUAUUACACAGAACACCAAUUGCGUAGGCAGCUUACUGAGCCGACACUGACGCUGAGGCACGAAAGCGUGGGGAUCAAACA